rnacentral:sRNA from 1 species
GCUGGGCACAGUGGCGCAAGCCUGUAAUCCCAGCGGCAUGGGAGGCUGAGACAGGAGGAUCACAAGUUCAAAGCCAGCCUCAGCAAUGGUGAGGCACUAAGCAACACAGUGAGAACCUAACUCUA